rnacentral:sRNA from 1 species
GACAUAUCACAGUAAGUCGAUAGU